rnacentral:rRNA from 1 species
CCUACGGGUGACAGCAGUGGGGAAUAUUGCACAAUGGGCGAAACCCUGAUGCAGCAACGCCGCGUGAAGGAAGAAGGCUUUCGGGAUGUAAAGUUCUUUUCUCAGGGACGAAACAAACGACGCUACACGAAGAAUAAGCCACUGCUAACUACGUACCAGCAGCAGCGGUAAUAAGUAGGUGGCAAGCGUUCUCCGGAUGUACUGGGUGUAAAGGGCGUGUAGGCGGGAGAGCAAGUCAGAUGUGAAAGCCAUGGGCUCAACCUGUGGACUGCAUUUGAAACUGUUUUGCUUGAGUGCUGGAGAGGCAUGCGGAAUUCCUAGUGUAGCGGUGAAAUGCGUAGAUAUUAGGAGGAACACCAGUGGCGAAGGCGGUUUGCUGGACUGUAACUGACGUUGAGGCGCGAAAGCGUGGGGAGCAAACAGGAUUAGAUACCCUUGUAGUC